ACCACAUGGUGCACUUCUCUUCUGUCACUGAAUUCUCAAAGUAAUUCCAUGGUCACGAAAUUCUUGCAUCCUUUCUUAGAUGCCUGUCUCUAGAGCAUUAUCACUAUUGGGGCCUAGAAGUUGUCAAAUUCAUCCAAUGCUAUAUAUACAGACGCAAACAGGUCCUUCUUACAACAGGCACGCAUGGAUGUUUGUUGAAUUAACUCUGGCCUUGGGUGGAUGUUUGUUAACCAUUGAGCUGAGUUACUUGAAGAAACUGAAGAUCCUGGAAAAUUAAGUGACACGUGAAAGUCUGAGAGUUAUUAAAUGGCUGAGUUGGACUUGUGAAGAACCUCCCCCCACGGCUCCCCCUCUGGCUUCCCUCAGCCUCUGAGUGAGAGGAUACCACUGCUGCCAUUUCUAAGCCUGUAUUUUCUUUCCAUUACAGCAUAUUGCCACCCAACUCACAGACUCAGAUCUUCCUGGUAAAACUCAGGGAUGCUUGCAGGAAGGAAGACAGAAGGAAAAAUGAAAUGCAAUUUAACGAGAUCUUUACUCAUCCACCUGCAAAAGGAGAAACUUAGAGGACACAAUGAAAUAACACAGAAUGUAAAGGGCCCACUGCCAAGCUUUCUAGGCAGGAGCCUUUUAAACAUGCAAAAUCAGUGGUUACACCGUUAAUAAAUUAGCUUUCUGAUAAAAUGUAA